CGUAGGCGAGCGAGCGUUGUUCGGAGUUACUGGGCGUAAAGGGUGCGUAGGCGGCCUAUUAAGUUUGUCGUGAAAUCUCCCGGCUCAACUGGGAGGGUGCGGCGGAUACUGAUGGGCUUGGGAGUGCGGGAGAGGAGAGUGGAAUUCCUGGUGUAGCGGUGAAAUGCGUAGAUAUCAGGAGGAACACCGGCGGUGUAGACGGCUCUCUGGACCGUAACUGACGCUGAGGCACGAAAGCGUGGGUAGCAAACAGGAUUAGAUACCCUGGUAGUCCACGCCCUAAACGAUGCGCAUUUGGUGUGGGCAGUUCAUUCUGUCCGUGCCGGAGCUAACGCGUUAAAUGCGCCGCCUGGGGAGUACAGUCGCAAGGCUG
rnacentral:rRNA from 1 species